UUAAGUGAAUAAGGGCGCACGGUGGAUGCCUUGGCACUAGGAGCCGAUGAAGGACGGGACUAACACCGAUAUGCUUUGGGGAGCUGUAAGUAAGCUAUGAUCCAGAGAUUUCCGAAUGGGGGAACCCAAUAUCUUUUAUAGGAUAUUACUUUUCAGUGAAUACAUAGCUGAUUAGAGGUAGACGCAGAGAACUGAAACAUCUUAGUACCUGCAGGAAGAGAAAGAAAAUUCGAUUCCCUGAGUAGCGGCGAGCGAAACGGGAAGAGCCCAAACCAACAAGCUUGCUUGUUGGGGUUGUAGGACUCCAAUAUGGUAGUCUGUUAGUAUAGUUGAAGGAUUUGGAAAAUUCCGCUAAAAAGGGUGAAAGCCCCGUAGACGAAAUGCUGACAACACCUAGGAGGAUCCUGAGUACGGCGGAACACGAGAAAUUCCGUCGGAAUCCGCGGGGACCAUCCCGCAAGGCUAAAUACUCCCUAGUGACCGAUAGUGAACCAGUACCGUGAGGGAAAGGUGAAAAGCACCCCGGAAGGGGAGUGAAAUAGAUCCUGAAACCGUGUGCCUACAACAAGUCAAAGCUCGUUAAUGAGUGAUGGCGUGCCUUUUGUAGAAUGAACCGGCGAGUUACGAUUGCAUGCGAGGUUAAGUCGAAGAGACGGAGCCGCAGCGAAAGCGAGUCUGAAUAGGGCGAAUGAGUAUGUAGUCGUAGACCCGAAACCAUGUGAUCUACCCAUGUCCAGGUUGAAGGUGCGGUAAAACGCACUGGAGGACCGAACCCACGUACGUUGAAAAGUGCGGGGAUGAGGUGUGGGUAGCGGAGAAAUUCCAAACGAACUUGGAGAUAGCUGGUUCUCUCCGAAAUAGCUUUAGGGCUAGCCUCGGAAUUGAGAAUGAUGGAGGUAGAGCACUGUUUGGACUAGGGGCCCAUCUCGGGUUACCGAAUUCAGAUAAACUCCGAAUGCCAUUCAUUUAUAUCCGGGAGUCAGACUGCGAGUGAUAAGAUCCGUAGUCGAAAGGGAAACAGCCCAGACCACCAGCUAAGGUCCCAAAAUAUAUGUUAAGUGGAAAAGGAUGUGGGGUUGCACAGACAACUAGGAUGUUGGCUUAGAAGCAGCCACCAUUUAAAGAGUGCGUAAUAGCUCACUAGUCGAGUGACCCUGCGCCGAAAAUGUACCGGGGCUAAACAUAUUACCGAAGCUGUGGACUACACCAUUAGGUGUAGUGGUAGGAGAGCGUUCUAAGGGCGUUGAAGGUCGAUCGUGAGGACGGCUGGAGCGCUUAGAAGUGAGAAUGCCGGUAUGAGUAGCGAAAGACAGGUGAGAAUCCUGUCCACCGUAUGACUAAGGUUUCCUGGGGAAGGCUCGUCCGCCCAGGGUUAGUCGGGACCUAAGCCGAGGCCGAUAGGCGUAGGCGAUGGACAACAGGUUGAUAUUCCUGUACCAGUUGUUUUUGUUUGAGCAAUGGAGGGACGCAGUAGGCUAAGGAAUGCAUGCGAUUGGAAGUGCAUGUCCAAGCAAUGAGUCUUGAGUAGAGUUAAAUGCUUUACUCUUUAAGGACAAGUUGUGACGGGGAGCGAAAUAAUAGUAGCGAAGUUCCUGAUGUCACACUGCCAAGAAAAGCUUCUAGUGAGAAAACAACUGCCCGUACCGUAAACCGACACAGGUAGUCGAGGAGAGUAUCCUAAGGUGAGCGAGCGAACUCUCGUUAAGGAACUCGGCAAAAUGACCCCGUAACUUCGGGAGAAGGGGUGCUGACUUCGGUCAGCCGCAGUGAAUAGGCCCAAGCGACUGUUUAUCAAAAACACAGGUCUCUGCAAAAUCGUAAGAUGAAGUAUAGGGGCUGACGCCUGCCCGGUGCUGGAAGGUUAAGAGGAUGGGUUAGCUUCGGCGAAGCUCAGAAUUGAAGCCCCAGUAAACGGCGGCCGUAACUAUAACGGUCCUAAGGUAGCGAAAUUCCUUGUCGGGUAAGUUCCGACCCGCACGAAAGGCGUAACGAUUUGGGCACUGUCUCAACGAGAGACUCGGUGAAAUUUUAGUACCUGUGAAGAUGCAGGUUACCCGCGACAGGACGGAAAGACCCCAUGGAGCUUUACUGUAGUUUGAUAUUGAGUGUUUGUACCGCAUGUACAGGAUAGGUAGGAGCCGAUGAGACCGGAACGCUAGUUUCGGAGGAGGCGCUGGUGGGAUACUACCCUUGUGUUAUGAACCCUCUAACCCGCACCACUAAUCGUGGUGGGAGACAGUGUCAGAUGGGCAGUUUGACUGGGGCGGUCGCCUCCUAAAAGGUAACGGAGGCGCCCAAAGGUUCCCUCAGAAUGGUUGGAAAUCAUUCGAAGAG
rnacentral:rRNA from 1 species